rnacentral:rRNA from 1 species
GAUGAACGCUAGCGACAGGCUUAACACAUGCAAGUCGAGGGGCAGCAUAGGGUAGCAAUACUCUGAUGGCGACCGGCAAACGGGUGAGUAACGCGUAUGCAACCUACCCUGUACAGGGGGAUAACCCGGAGAAAUUCGGACUAAUAUCCCGUAAUAAUAUCCGGAGGCAUCUUUGGAUAUUUAAAGUUUCGACGGUACGGGAUGGGCAUGCGUAACAUUAGCUGGUUGGUAAGGUAACGGCUUACCAAGGCUAUGAUGUUUAGGGGUCCUGAGAGGGUGGUCCCCCACACUGGUACUGAGACACGGACCAGACUCCUACGGGAGGCAGCAGUGAGGAAUAUUGGUCAAUGGGCGCAAGCCUGAACCAGCCAUCCCGCGUGCAGGAAGACGGCCCUAUGGGUUGUAAACUGCUUUUCCAGGGAGAGAAACUUACGCACGUGUUGACGUGACUGACGGUACCCUGGGAAUAAGCAUCGGCUAACUCCGUG